rnacentral:rRNA from 1 species
GUCGAGCGGACCGACGGGAGCUUGCUCCCUUAGGUCAGCGGCGGACGGGUGAGUAACACGUGGGUAACCUGCCUGUAAGACUGGGAUAACUCCGGGAAACCGGGGCUAAUACCGGAUGCUUGAUUGAACCGCAUGGUUCCAAUCAUAAAAGGUGGCUUUCAGCUACCACUUACUGAUGGACCCGCGGCGCAUUAGCUAGUUGGUGAGGUAACGGCUCACCAAGGCGACGAUGCGUAGCCGACCUGAGAGGGUGAUCGGCCACACUGGGACUGAGACACGGCCCAGACUCCUACGGGAGGCAGCAGUAGGGAAUCUUCCGCAAUGGACGAAAGUCUGACGGAGCAACGCCGCGUGAGUGAUGAAGGUUUUCGGAUCGUAAAACUCUGUUGUUAGGGAAGAACAAGUACCGUUCGAAUAGGGCGGCACCUUGACGGUACCUAACCAGAAAGCCACGGCUAACUACGUGCCAGCAGCCGCGGUAAUACGUAGGUGGCAAGCGUUGUCCGGAAUUAUUGGGCGUAAAGCGCGCGCAGGCGGUUUCUUAAGUCUGAUGUGAAAGCCCCCGGCUCAACCGGGGAGGGUCAUUGGAAACUGGGGAACUUGAGUGCAGAAGAGGAGAGUGGAAUUCCACGUGUAGCGGUGAAAUGCGUAGAGAUGUGGAGGAACACCAGUGGCGAAGGCGACUCUCUGGUCUGUAACUGACGCUGAGGCGCGAAAG